rnacentral:rRNA from 1 species
UACGUAGGGGCAAGCGUUGUCCGGAAUCAUUGGGCGUAAAGAGCGCGUAGGCGGCCCGAUAAGUCCGCUGUGAAAGUCAAGGGCUUAACCCUUGAAUGCCGGUGGAAACUGUCGGGCUAGAGUCCGGAAGAGGCGAGUGGAAUUCCUGGUGUAGCGGUGAAAUGCGCAGAUAUCAGGAAGAACACCCGUGGCGAAGGCGGCUCUCUGGGACGGUACUGACGCUGAGACGCGAAAGCGUGGGGAGCGAACGGG